rnacentral:rRNA from 1 species
UACGAAGGUCCCAAGCGUUAUCCGGAUUUAUUGGGUUUAAAGGGUGCGUAGGCGGCUUAUUAAGUCAGUGGUGAAAGCCCCAAGCUUAACUUGGGAAUUGCCAUUGAUACUGAUGAGCUUGAGUAGAUUUGAGGCGGGCGGAAUGUGUCGUGUAGCGGUGAAAUGCUUAGAUAUGACACAGAACACCGAUUGCGUAGGCAGCUCGCUAAACUCUUACUGACGCUGAGGCACAAAAGCAUGGGGAUCAAACAGG